GGGGCUCCCAAACGCGGGCCGGCGCGUGGGGGCAGCGGGGCCUCCCGGCUGCCCGAGCCGCUCCACUGGGAGAGGAGGAGACAAAACAGCGGCGCGCCGCCCCGCGCAGAGCCCCCCGCCCGCGCCGCCCCACCGACCCCCCAACCGCCGAGGCGACGGCGGCGACACUGAGCCCGGCGCGGGGAGCAAUGGUGGCCCCCGCCCUCCACCCCCGCCUCGGCUCCUCCCCCUCGGCCUCCUGCCGCCGCCACCAGGACACUCGAGUCCGCCUCCCCCACCCCGCCCGCUCAGAGCGCUCCUCCCCUCCCCACGCGGCGGCGGGGAGGGGGGGUACGGCGGCACCGCCAGUCACCGCCGCGCCUGUCAAACCCGGGCCGGCUAUUUAUACCCCGCGGGGCCCCGCCGCCCUCGACCCGCACCAGCCCGCCCAACAUGCUUCCGUGGCCGUCUCGAAUCUCGCCCGCCCUGUAGCCCCCCAACUUCUCAAACCCGCCUUCUCAGAUUAUGAAACUGAGGCAACUGAAGGUGAAGAAUAAUUUUUCCAAGACCAGCAGCAAGUGAGUAGUGGGGCCAGGUAGGAAAACUAAGCAGACUGGCUCCAGAUUCCCUGCUCUCAACACUCUGCUCAGCUUUCUCCUGCUCCUCCUCCACAUCAUCUCCAAGACUGAAGGCGACGGGUCAGGCAGGCUUCUCCGGAUCCUGUGCUCUCCUGUGAGUUAAGGUAGGUGAAGGAGCCCAGUUCACAAUUCAACAAACCUAAAAGGGCUUACAUUCUGCUAGAGAAUUCCAGGAUCCACUUACAAUGUCUGCAUUGUUAUUUGGUUGCCUGAAUGGAGAAAGAAAAUUAAAAUAUACUCUCUUUUUUAAUUAACUACUUGAUAUGCCAAUAAAAUAAUUUUCCUACAUUCAUUGGUUACAUACUCUCUUCUUUCUUCAUAUGAUGAUUUUGCAAUAUUAGUUUCAUGGAAAGAAUAGAAAGAUCAUUUUUUUCCUCUAGCUUAGAAUAUUAAAAUUUGGUUUUUAUUACUGAUGCUUUAGAAAUGUUUCUGUUAGCCUUAUAACUUAUUAUUGAUAAUAUAUACAUUUUAGGAAAGUUUUCAAUUUGCAGGAAUUUCUAUCAUAUUUCUUUCAUAUAGAAGUAAGAUUUUAGUUUAUUCCAGUUUUCUUACGCUGUUACUAAUCUUAGAUAUUCUUUGACUUUGAAAACAGUAGUAGAAAGCUGGUAUGUUAAGGAUGGAUAAACAGAAAGGUCUUACUGUAUAGCACAAGAAACUAUAUUCAAUAUCCUGUAUUCAUAAUGGAAAAGAAUAUGAAAAAUAAUAUAUAUGUGUACAAGUUAGUCACUUUGCUGUACAGCAGAAAUUAGUUCAACAUUUUAAAUCAAAUAUAGUUAAGUAAAAUUUUUUUUAAAUGCCUCUUAGACAAAAAAAAAUUAGUUGCUAUUUGAUGUUCAGAGAGUAGUGAUGAUAAAUCGUGUUAUCUCUAUGGAUGUCACUUUUUAAUGUCAAAUCAGCCAUGUACUUACAUAUUUUACCAAUUUAUUCCUAUGAGUCAUUCCUGUCAACUCUGGUAUGAUUCAAAACUUCCUCAUUACUUAUUUUCAAAUUUAUCUUUUCCUUUGAAUGUUUGCUUUGAUAUGUUUUGAAAUUAUGAUCUCGAAUUUCUAUUUUUGAUGUAAGCAUCAUCUUUAUCACUUUCG
ensembl:lncRNA